GACGAACGCUGGCGGCGGGCUUAACACAUGCAAGUCGACCGAAGUGGCGAACGGGUGAGUAAUACGAGGGUAACCUGCCCUCCUUUUUGGGAUAAGCCUUGGAAACGGGGUCUAAUACCGAAUAAAGGGGGAUGGGCUCGCGGCCUAUCAGCUUGUUGGUGGGGUGAUGGCCUACCAAGGCGGUGACGGGUAGCCGGCCUGAGCGGGUGUCCGACCACAUUGGUACUAAGAGACGGCCCAGACUCCUGCGGGUGGCACCAGUGUGUGAUAUUUCACAGUGUGGGAAGGCCUGAUGCAGCGACGCCGCGUAGGUGCUGAAGGCUUUCGGGUUGUUAACCUCUUUCUCUAUCGAACGGGGUGGCGGUGAAGAAGCGCCGACUAACGACGUGCCAGCAGCCGCGGUAAUUC
rnacentral:rRNA from 1 species